UACGUAGGGGGCAAGCGUUGUCCGGAAUCAUUGGGCGUAAAGAGCGUGUAGGCGGCCAGAUAAGUCCGCUGUGAAAACUCGAGGCUCAACUUCGAGCUGUCGGCGGAAACUAUCUGGCUAGAGUCCGGAAGAGGAGGGUGGAAUUCCUGGUGUAGCGGUGAAAUGCGCAGAUAUCAGGAAGAACACCCGUGGCGAAGGCGGCUCUCUGGGACGGUACUGACGCUGAGACGCGAAAGCGUGGGGAGCGAACAGG
rnacentral:rRNA from 1 species